rnacentral:rRNA from 1 species
CCUACGGGGGGCAGCAGUGAGGAAUAUUGGUCAAUGGAGGCAAGUCUGAACCAGCCAUGCCGCGUGCAGGAAGACGGCUCUAUGAGUUGUAAACUGCUUUUGUACGAGGGUAAACGCCGAUACGCGUAUCUGUCUGAAAGUAUCGUACGAAAAAGCCUCGGCUAACUCCGUGCCAGCAGCCGCGGUAAUACGGAGGAUGCGAGCGUUAUCCGGAUUCAUGGGGUUAAAAGGGUGCGCAGGCGGGCCUUUAAGCCGGCGGUGAAAUCCGCGGGUUAAACCCCGACGAGCCGUCGGAAUUGGGGGCCUAGAGUGCGGGAGAGGCAUGCGGAAUGCGCGGUGUAGCGGUGAAAUGCAUAGAUAUCAGGCAGAACCCCGAUUGCGAAGGCAGCGUGCCGUGCCGCAACUGACGCUGAGGCACGAAAGCGCGGGGAUCGAACAGGAUUAGAUACCCUAGUAGUC